GGACAUUAGUAAACUGUAUAAUAAGGAAAUCAUCAAUAAUACGAAAGUAUGAUUAGUAACAAAGCCAGUGAACAGGGCGGCAUGUUGUGGAGGCAGUUUGACGGACGGCGCCGGACGGAGUAAAAUUUUUUCUACAGUUAAUAAUUGAGAUGAAUUGUUUCCGGAAUUUAACGGAACAGGAAAUGACCUUUCAUUUGGCCAAGCUUUUGAACAUCAAAGAGCAAGAGAUCCAACACGACAGGGAUUAUUUAAUCUGUUAUACUAGGGAACAAGCGUUGCGUAUUAUGGCGGAGGGUCUGAAUCCGGUGGCACCACAUCCCGAUCAGGACUUUGGACAUUCGUUUGUUAAUGAAAUCGGAGUCAGACUGGAUCCACCAAUGACACAGGAGCGGAAAAAGAAGCUCUUUAGCUGAAUGAAAGUCGUUACUGGGAAUAUUUCGCUUUUUGGAAAUGACUGGCGGUUUAUAAUCCGAGCAGCAUACUGUCUCAUAUCGGAAUCGUUGGAAUUACUGAACCUUCUGAGAGCUAUCGCAUCUCAUGCAGUUGAAGUGGGUAUCAAGAGUGGCCACCGGCUUACGCACACAGUUCUGAAACGUAUAGUCACCAUUCCGAGCGGAAAAACGUGGAAAGAUUUAACAAUCAACUGGCAUGCGGCCAUUGUCGCCGGCAACAUUAACGGGAUUCCCGAUGGACGAAAGCGCCAGCCUCGUCAGUCAGCAACGCCAGCGACCAAAAUAUUGAACACAAGCAAGCACCACAAGUAGUCG